rnacentral:lncRNA from 1 species
GGACAGGUUAAGAGGCACGCAUCCAUCUCGCCUCCGCUCCCUCCCCGUGCCCCCAGUCAAUAUGUCUCUCUCCGAUGGGAAAGUUAAUAAAUUUAGCUCUAGAUUAAAAGUAUCGAUCAUUUCAUUUGUAAGCGAUAAAUAACCGGGGGCAACGCUGGGCGGCCCGCGGGGUAGCGGCUGCGGGCUCCGGCUGCAGCAGCCCUGCAGCCCGCUGGGGCCGGGGGCCCUCAUAUGCAUUCUGCCCGGAUGCCGGCAUUGAUUUGCUAUUAGUCUCCCCGCACCACCCAGUAGCACAUCAUUCCCGGAGCCGCUAUUAAUGGCCUUUUGAUAAAUAAUCACUUGUAAGUCAAUAAAUUUUUAUUAAACAGUGUGGCGCUUUGAUUUAUGAAAAUCCGACGGGGUUUGUCUGGGAGAAAAGCGAUGCGGAAUUGAAGCGGAGCCACUAUCCAUCUGCCUGCCAGGCUGCCCUGCCUGCGCUCGCCGCUCUCCAACCCGCGCAGCGGCCGCGAGGAGGCGGCCGGAGAGCCGGGACCGGGAAGCGCCGGCUCCACGGGGCGCGCGGCCGUCGCCGGGCGCUGGGCUCUGCCCAGCUCUGCCCAGCUCUGCCCCACACAUUGCCGGUGCUCUGCCCUACACACCGCCGGUGCUCUGCUCUACACAUUGCUCGUGCUCUGCCCCACACAUUGCUGGAGCUCUGCCCUGCACACUGCUGGUACUCUGCCCCACACAUUGCUGGUGCUCUGCCCUGCACACUGCUGGUGCUCUGCCCCACACAUUGCUCGUGCUCUGCCCCACACAUUGCUGGUGCUCUGCCCUGCACACUGCUGGUGCUCUGCACCACACAUUGUUCGUGCUCUGCCCCGCACAUUGCUGGUGCUCUGCCCUGCACACUGCUGGUGCUCUGCCCUGUGUACUCUGCAAGUUCCUGGCCCCAGGCCACCCACCCUGCCCCAUGUGCUGCCAGUGUUCUGCCCUGCAGGCUCCCCAAGCUUUGCUCCAUGUGCUCUACAAGGUCUGCCCCACAUGCUGCUGGUGCUCUGCCCCAUUCAUUCCACGAGCUCUGCCCCACACAGUCCAUGAGCUCCUGGCCCCAGGACCACCCAGGCACUCUGCAAGCUCUGCCCCAUGCACUUCAGUCUCCUCCCUCCAUGCACGCACUGCCCUGUGUGCUCCACGAGCUCCUGCCCCACAUGCUACGCAAGCUCCUGGCCCCAGGGCCACCUGCCCUGCCUCAUGUGCUGCCAGCACUCUGCCCCACACGCUCUGUGAGCUCCUGCCCCAUGUGCUCCCUGAGCUCCUGCUCUCUGAGCUCUGCCCUGCGCACUCCAUGAGCUCUGCCCUGAAUGCUGCCAGAGCUCUGCCUGACGUGCUGCUGGUGCUCUG